GCGGCUGUGGCGAAAUCGGCAGACGCGCUAGCUUCAGGAGCUAGUGAUGGCAACAUCAUGGUGGUUCAAGUCCACUCAGCCGCACCA
rnacentral:tRNA from 1 species